CAGCCGCCGCGGUAAUACGAAGGGUGCAAGCGUUAAUCGGAAUUACUGGGCGUAAAGCGUGCGUAGGUGGUGGUUUAAGUCCGUUGUGAAAGCCCUGGGCUCAACCUGGGAAUUGCAGUGGAUACUGGGUCACUAGAGUGUGGUAGAGGAUAGUGGAAUUUCCGGUGUAGCAGUGAAAUGCGUAGAGAUCGGAAGGAACAUCUGUGGCGAAGGCGACUAUCUGGGCCAACACUGACACUGAGGCACGAAAGCGUGGGGAGCAAACAGGAUUAGAUACCCGAGUAGUCCCUGUCUCUUAUAA
rnacentral:rRNA from 1 species